rnacentral:miRNA from 1 species
AGACUUUUCAGGUAGUUCAC